AUUGAACGCUGGCGGCAGGCCUAACACAUGCAAGUCGAGCGGAUGAGAGGAGCUUGCUCCUUGAUUCAGCGGCGGACGGGUGAGUAAUGCCUAGGAAUCUGCCUGGUAGUGGGGGACAACGUUUCGAAAGGAACGCUAAUACCGCAUACGUCCUACGGGAGAAAGCAGGGGACCUUCGGGCCUUGCGCUAUCAGAUGAGCCUAGGUCGGAUUAGCUAGUAGGCGGGGUAAUGGCCCACCUAGGCGACGAUCCGUAACUGGUCUGAGAGGAUGAUCGGUCACACUGGAACUGAGACACGGUCCAGACUCCUACGGGAGGCAGCAGUGGGGAAUAUUGGACAAUGGGCGAAAGCCUGAUCCAGCCAUGCCGCGUGUGUGAAGAAGGUCUUCGGAUUGUAAAGCACUUUAAGUUGGGAGGAAGGGCAGUUAGUUAAUACCUGACUGUUUUGACGUUACCAACAGAAUAAGCACCGGCUAACUUCGUGCCAGCCGCCGCAGUAA
rnacentral:rRNA from 1 species